CCUACGGGAGGCAGCAGUGAGGAAUAUUGGUCAAUGGCCGGAAGGCUGAACCAGCCAAGCCGCGUGAAGGACGAAGGUGCCAAGCAUUGUAAACUUCUUUUGUCAAGGGACAAAAUCAGGCUCGAGAGCCUGACCGAGGGUACUUGAAGAAAAAGCAUCGGCUAACUCCGUGCCAGCAGCCGCGGUAAUACGGAGGAUGCGAGCGUUAUCCGGAUUUAUUGGGUUUAAAGGGAGCGUAGGCCGCAUGUCAAGCGUGCUGUGAAAUGUCCGGGCUCAACCCGGGCCUUGCAGCGCGAACUGGCGUGCUUGAGUCCGCGGAAAGCAGGCGGAAUUCGUCGUGUAGCGGUGAAAUGCUUAGAUAUGACGAAGAACCCCGAUUGCGAAGGCAGCUUGCUGCAGCGGAACUGACGCUGAUGCUCGAAAGCGCGGGUAUCGAACAGGAUUAGAUACCCUAGUAGUC
rnacentral:rRNA from 1 species